AUUGAGCGCUGGCGGCAUGCCUUACACAUGCAAGUCGAACGGCAGCAUGAUCUAGCUUGCUAGAUUGGUGGCGAGUGGCGAACGGGUGAGUAAUACAUCGGAACGUGCCCCGUAGUGGGGGAUAACUAGUCGAAAGAUUAGCUAAUACCGCAUACGACCUGAGGGUGAAAGUGGGGGACCGCAAGGCCUAAUGCUAUAGGAGCGGCCGAUGUCUGAUUAGCUAGUUGGUGAGGUAAAGGCUCAGCAAGGCGACGAUCAGUAGCUGGUCUGAGAGGACGAUCAGCCAGACUGGGACUGAGACACCGCCCAGACUCCUACGGGAGGCAGCAGUGGGGAAUUUUGGACAAUGGGGGCAACCCUGAUCCAGCAAUGCCGCGUGUGUGAAGAAGGCCUUCGGGUUGUAAAGCACUUUUGUCCGGAAAGAAAUCGCACUUACUAAUAUUAGGUGUAGAUGACGGUACCGGAAGAAUAAGGACCGGCUAACUACGUGCCAGCCGCCGCGGUAACAC
rnacentral:rRNA from 1 species